GGGGUUGUGACUCAGUGGUAGAGUGCUUGCCUACCAUGUGUGAGACACUGGGUUCCAUCCUCAGCACCUCA
rnacentral:tRNA from 1 species